AAGGAAAGUAAAAAUCAUCUCACACCCUAUUGAGAAAUAUUUGUUAGAAAAUAGAGCAGUAUAAUACAGAGGGAGGCUGCAGAAGAAAACACAUUUCUCACAAAAAAAGGUCAUUAAAAGCAAAAGCAAUAUAUACUUAAAUUGCAAGAAAAUACCCUCUAGAGGGCCGGGAAAGACAAAUGCACAAACACUCUCAGAUCAAUAUCAGGAAAAGCAAAAAAACCCAAGCAAAUAACAUAGCACGUCUCUUGCAGACACAGGGAGAACACAGAUCUAAGGGGCACGAUGUGGCUGGGGUGGGGGGCAAGGAGGGUUAUAUUCAGCCCUCAGGUGCAAAGAAUAAAGCUUCCUCCUCUCCCGACAGGUGACCAGCUUUCCAUAACCCAAUGAGAACCUGUCUGCUCUAGCCCUGUCUAAUAGUGACUUCAUAUUACCUACACCUGCUUCUCAUGCUUAGCUGAUUUGCAUUUCUCUGCCUCUUUCAGUUUGAAAGCUGGAUAAUCCUGAGCUCUGUUAGCAUGCUGAGGUCAAGUGCUGAAAAGACUACUAAUCUGUUUCAACUUGGUCAUGUAGCAAGUGGGCAGUAUUUGAGGGGUUAUUCAAGACAUCAGCUCAUACCAUCGUUGUUGAAAAUCAGCUGUGGUUUAAAGAGCAACCAUCUCUGGAGAUCAAGUAUCCAUCAUCAGUUUCAUUCUUAUCAACUAGAUCACUUCAAGGUGCUCCUUGAACUAUUAAGUUGAUUCAAAUUAGAUGCUUAGUCACUGGGAGAAAAAACAAAACACAAACCAACCCAGAAACAAAAAGCCAAGCAGGAGUCACUACGUGGGAAGAAGAGGUGACUGAAGUCAGAAACACUUUGCCUGGAGAUGGUUGUGUAUGCAACAUCGUUGGAGAACUGCCCUCAUGAAGUGUGGCCAUGCUCCUGAUCUGCCAUUUAUUCAAUAUCCUACAUUACUUCUGUUUCUGUCCAAUCUCACUUAAGUUUAUUCUGGAUUUAUGAUGGCAACAUUGACAUACCAAUCCAUCAUGGCAUGCUACCAAAGUCCAAGCACCUAUAAGAAGUAGGAGUUUGAGCAGUAAAUAUCUUGCCAAUACAGCUUUGAUAGAAGUUCACACUAUCUCCCUCUACAAGCAGGUAAGUGACAGGCACUGGCUAUGAUGCAGAGAGCAAAGUUUGUGAAGAGCAACAAAGUAGCUUUUAGGUCCCAGAUUCCUUCAUCACUUGCAUGACUUGUAUUUUCUGUUUUCUACAAGUGCCUUAAAAGAAAACAAGCAGUGGAUGGAAAUUCAUUUUGGAAGUUACCCGAGCUCUGAGAUCCCGAGCUCAUCAGUCAGCACAGCUCUAUACAGGCAGAGAAUCUCACACCAAUGUUUCAACUAUGACCGGCCAUCCUGAACUGGUAACAAGGUUUAAUGAAAGGUCAUGCCCUCCUUCCCUGAAAAGACUUUCAGAUUCUGCUUUUCAGAUCAUAAAUUUCACAUGCAGGCCAUCAAUGGACUAAAUUUCUCCCCCUUUUUGGUUCACCUUGUAGGACAGAAGAAGAUCUUGCAGCAGAACCAACAGUAGAACCACUGAAGUCACUCAGUGACCAAAGUUACAUGUUAAACCAUGUACUUCUCAUCCUAUUAUAAACCUUUUAUGCCCAUGUCCCACCUCAAGUUCAGAUCACACACUAUGAAGUGAACUUAGUUCUUUGAUUAUUUGCUGUACCUGGGAGGAAUUUUCCCUUCUCAGCCCAAUUCCACCAUCAAGAAGGGCCGAAACUUUACCUGCAGAUCAUACUGCAAUUUUGUGAGGCUUUUAUCUUCCUGGGGUUUUUUUGCCACAAUGAGCUUAAUCUCAUGUUGGAGCACAAAACCUGUCUUUUCUGAUGGAGAAAAACAAUGGGAGGUUAUGAAAUGAUUCUGUAAUUGACUGACUGCACAUGCACAGGGGAAUUAUAAGCAGUCGUUAAGAUGCUAAGCCAGGAAAAAUGCAUCAUGAAGAAUUCACACUAGUUUACCUGGAUAUUUUCACAUAGGAUUUUAAAUAGAUCUUAUUGCUUAUUCCCAGAUAAGGUUACCACCAUACUGCCACAGAAUACCUUGUAUUCCUGUGUGGACUUUCUACCAUUUCUAUAAUUCUGUUACUUUUUUUUUUUUCUGUUAAGCCGCAUCAGCUAAGGGCAGUGCCUUGAUAAGAGGUCUUGGGGGUGAUGGUCAGGAGACUAGGUACAUAGCAAUGACUGAUCACAGCAUGUUUUCUCUUUUCCGUAGUCCUGGAGCAACAACACUUAAAGAACUUACAUUGUUAAAGACACAUGUGAUACACCUCAUGAUCUUGAACACUUGCAGUUUUCCACACAGAGGCGUUAUAAUCACCUGGUUUAGCAAUUCUGUGCAGCAUCUUUGCAGGAUGUUUUAAUCCUGAUUUGUACCUAAACUUGUGUAAUGUUUCUAUAGACUAUUAUAAAUUGGCUGUACUCUCUAACUGCUGUAUUUCAGUGGCUACAGAAGCGAUCUCUCUGGAGCUCUUGCAGGAGAAGUACUGUAUUUAUCAUAUUUAGCUAACUACCUGCCUUCCAAACUGUCAUACUCAGAUGCCUCUCUACCUUUGGCGCAUUUUCCCCUUCAUAUUACUGUUUCGAUUAAGGAGCUAUUAUUAUGCAGGCAUACAGAUUGGGACCCAACAUACAGAAAAUAAUUAAUUACCUGUAGCCACACAGACAGGGAGCUUGAAUCAACAUUUUUAGUUUCCAGCAAAGCACCUCAAAAUUCUUCAGCAAUUCAGUAACAGUCAAGUAAAGAUUUUAUAACAAUGUUGACAACUAAAACACUUGCAUUCUGUUUCAACUGCAGGGAACCUGGAGAUCUCUGUUGCAUUUAUUUCUGUGUGAAACAAAGCAGCACAUCAAGUGUUCUGAAGAAUUGUUACUUCUUUCCAAAAUUGUCCAAGUUGCCUAGUGUUUGCAAAUAUGCCUGCAAUUACUCUUGAGACUGGGCAGAAACAAGCAAUAGUAUUGUAAGCUCACUCAGAGAAGCUUAGAAACAGAAUGGACAGGUAAAUUUAGCAUACUGUAUUGUUUGCACUGGACUUGAUGUCCAAAUUUCAAAGAACAACAAGAAACAGCACACCUCCUGCUAGAAGGCCCUAACUCAGGUUGCUGAUUAUAAAGAUAUGAGAGAGCCAGAGAGUAGGCUGGCUGAGUUUUCUCCCACCUUUGGAUAUUAGAUAUCACUGAGGUGGAACCAAAAGAAAGAAAAUAGAAGUUUGGCAGGGAAAUAACUUGUGUUGAAAGUACCUGUGUUUCAGUAUCCCACUGCAUCUGACUUUGAGCUGACAGUGUUUGAGAUCUCUCUUGUGUGACUAUGCAAUGCAGUGGUCUGAAUGCCCCAUUUUUUUGUCAGCAGCAUUCAGACUGUAGUCUGCAUCCAUUGCUCACACAGCCUGUUUCUGCAUCAGGUGUCCAAGUCUACCAUCCCUAAUGAGUACGUUUAGGCUAAGCCACACAGACUGAGUAUUUGAGCAUAAGGGUGCUGUGGCACACACUUUCCAACGAGGCUGGGUGGCCAUAAACUAACCUCAAGACACAGCUGAGCCCAAGCUGUGCAGUGGAGCACAGCAGACUAGAUUGGUUAGGCCAAGAGCGAUGUACUGUCCCUUUGCCACGCUGCCUGUAAGUCCCUUGUCUUGAACAUGCCUCUGUCUCCAUCACAAUGAAACAGAAAUGAAAUUAAUGCAUUGAUCCUAAAUUGGUUUAUGUAAUUUGUUUUAGACAUAGUAUGUCAUCUCCAUAUGAAGGGAAUCAUGUAAAGAAUACAUCAUCUGUUCUUCUUCCCCAGACAAAAGACAGAGCCAAACUAGAAAGAUACAAAAGAAAGCGCAAAGUGGAGCAUACAUGCAAAACAGACUGUUAUUUGAUAGUCUCUUCAUCGUUCUGAAAGCCAGCAUCUAAUGCAGGCUUCUGGCACAAGCUGGAUACCUGCUAAGAGUGGGCAUAUUGAAUUAUUCAUGCUUUUGGUUAUAAAUAAUGCACUGCCGGCAUAUAUCUAAUUUAAAUAGACCCACAAACCCCAGCGGAUUAGUCCCUGCAUGCUGCCUAAAAGUAACAGAUCAUCUAGCCAAAGUCUCUUGGCUAUUGCCUGCCCUCAGCAAGGCUCUUCUGGAGGAUAACAUUUUAAAGAAUUUUUCUCUGAUGUUUUGUUGAUACAGCGAUAAUAUUUUGUAUGUAAGAGCUUAAGAGACUUCAGUAGUAGCACCGCACUAUACCAGGACACUGCCUGCUUGGAACUGUUCCUGCAUAAUUUUCCUGUAUGAUCAUCCCGUAAUGACAGCACUGUUCUCGCUAACAAUGGGACUGCACAUCCCAUACUGCAGACAGAGUUAAAGAGUUGGUAACCCUACCAAGGAUGGAAGCUAUACCUCAGGACAAUGGUUCUUAGACAUUAUUUAAACAACAAAAACAAAGCAUGCACUUAGACCUUAAGUACCAUGUUUCAAUAAAAAGGCUAUA